GCCUACGGCCAAACCACCCUGAACACGCCUGAUCUCGGAAGCUAAGCAGGGUCGGGCCUGGUUAGUACCUGGAUGGGAGACCGCCUGGGAAUACCAGGUGUUGUAGGCU
rnacentral:rRNA from 1 species